rnacentral:rRNA from 1 species
CAGCCGCCGCGGUAAUACCGGCGGCCCGAGUGGCGGCCACUAUUAUUGGGCUUAAAGCGUCCGUAGCCGGGUUGGUUAGUCUCCCGGGAAAUCUGGCCGCUUAACGGUCAGAAUUCCGGGAGAUACUGCCAGCCUAGGGACCGGGAGAGGCCGAGGGUAUUCCCGGAGUAGGGGUGAAAUCCUAUAAUCCCGGGAGGACCACCUGUGGCGAAGGCGCUCGGCUGGAACGGGUCCGACGGUGAGGGACGAAGGCCAGGGGAGCAAACCGGAUUAGAUACCCGGGUAGUCCUGGCUGUAAACGAUGCGGACUUUGUGUCGGACAAGCUAUGAGCUUGUCCGGUGCCGGAGGGAAACCGUUAAAUCCGCCGCCUGGGGAGUACGGCCGCAAGGCUGAAACUUAAAGGAAUUGGCGGG